rnacentral:rRNA from 1 species
CCUAUGGGGCGCAGCAGUGGGGGAUAUUGCACAAUGGGGGGAACCCUGAUGCAGCGACGCCGCGUGAGUGAAGUAGUAUCUCGGUAUGUAAAGCUCUAUCAGCAGGGAAGAAGCAAGACGGUACCUGACUAAGAAGCCCCGGCUAACUACGUGCCAGCAGCCGCGGUAAUACGUAGGGGGCGAGCGUUAUCCGGAUUUACUGGGUGUAAAGGGAGCGUAGACGGCAUGGUAAGUCUGGAGUGAAAGCCCGGGGCCCAA